AGGCAGUGCAUUGCUAGCUGGCUGUUAGAACUUUAUCCCAACAGUUGCUAGCUGCACUACCCU
rnacentral:pre_miRNA from 1 species